ensembl:lncRNA
GCUCUCGCUGCGUUGACAACUGAAGCAACGAAAUAAAAGGAUUGUCUACCAAACCUGCUGUGUCCUGCCUGUACCCCAAAGAACAUACACCGUGACAUCUGCAUUUCUGCAGACGUGGUCUCAGGGAACUGCAGCAAUGGGACAUUAAACACAGGUUCAUUCAUCUAAGCCGGAGACCGAUGAGGACAGAUCAACAAAGAGGAUAUAAACAAGGGGGCGCUGGUCUUGGGCCGAUGCCUCACCUGGCGUGCAACGUGACCCGGAGCCGGAGAUGCUGCCGCGCUGGAAGCAGGCGGCCGCCCUGCAGCCGUUCUUCAGAGGUCACUCUGCAAAGGGGACGAAGCUGUUUGGGGAGAAAGUCACCGCCGCCGUCCGCACUGCGAUCCAACAGAGCUUCUCUGACUGUUUCAGUCAAAUGAGUCACAGCCAUUUGGAUCCACCAGGAACGACUGCUUUCCCUUAAUGAAUAUCAUCUCCUAGGUCUUUUUUCAAUUAGCGUGAAAAAACAAUAAACAGGACGAAUCGUCAAAAUGUGUCUUAGUGGACAAAGAGGAGGUCCUGUUUGCUGCCUUACUGGUUUACUCUGUUCCACCUGGCUCACACCUCCGUCUGCCUCCCUCUGCUGCCCAGUGGAAGUGGAGCACUGCUGGCCAGUCCUGUAACCAAGCCGCGUGUUCAAGCUGUGCGAGUCCUUCUUCCUGGAUCUGGUGAGGUAAAUCAAGCAGCAGGUUUGGUACGACGUCCUCACUGCAAAGGCGCAUAAAGGAGGCCGGACUCUGGGUCUGCCCGUCACCCUGGACACAGUUUCUGUGUUCCAGCGUGGCGGCUCGGUGGUCUGCAGGUCAACAGGAAGUGGUUCCUGCACAGCCGAACAGCAGCAGCUCCCCCUCUCGAUCACGGUGGCCCUGAACUCUGAGAUAUCUGAGAAUGUCUAUGAGGAGGACGUCCUCC